AACCAAGUUUGUUAUUGGUAUGAGCUUUCGUGUGCAUGCACACGUCUUCAGAUACCUGAAGAAUCUGAAGUAUCUGAAGAAGUGUGCAUGCACACGAAAGCUCAUACCAAUAACAAAGUUGGUC